AUGAAGAAGAUCAUGAACCGUUGCCGCAAGCUAGUGGGCAUGCUUGGUUGUGCUGCCUCGGUUGACGUGCAUGUUCCUCCUCCUGGUGGGUCGACACGUGCCCUAGCUUCAUCAAGCCACACCGGCGGAGGUUCCUCGAGCCAUGCCGCCUCGUCAUCUCGCCUUGUUAACGAGACCGAGGAAGAAGAGGAAGUGGACGAGGAGGAAGAGGAAGAAGAGGGAGAAGAGGAAGGAGGUGACGAUGAAGAAGGUGAUGAGGAGGAGUACGACGACGAUGAUGGACCUCAACCGACUCAGCCAACCCAACCGGAUGAGGGCCGCUCGAAGACAAACGAGGAGCGUGCCGCCAAGAGGGGGAGGGGGAGGAACUAG
rnacentral:rRNA from 1 species